UACAAUGAUAUCCAAAUGUACUUAUGUUGUAGAAGGAUGCCUGAUCUGCAUGUUGAAGAUCAAUGGAGGAAAUUCUCAUAACUAUGAUGGUUUAGAGGUCGAGGAUCUCUGCUACAACGAAUAUAAUUGCCCCUUAAAAAGAGGACGAUUAGGAGGAUAACACUGAAAAAGGUUGCUAGCCUUUCUGCUCCAAAGUAACAAAAUAUGUAUUUGUAAGUAAGAAAAUAUCAUACUUUCACUUUCAAUGUCUGGGGGUAUUCAAUUCUGGUUUUAGAGAGGCUGAUGUUGUCAUGUAAUUGCCCAAAUCUUUGUAACUGAGCAUGUUGUCUACUGUUGGAUAUGUCGUGUUUCCCUUGAUAUUUGAUUUGAUAACAUUGUCCUUGUUAUACUUCAUUUGCUUUUCUAUUUAUAUUAAAUACUCGAAAGUAUUAUUGUUUAAUUACACACUGCACUGCCCAAAUUGUUGAAUGUGUGAUCUAAAUAAGUUUAAUCUUUUCUGCUAUUGAUUGAAAAAAAAGUUCUUGGUGAGUCUACAAGUGAUAACAUUGACAUAGGAUUUACAUUCAUAGUAGUUUGUCAACCUUUUAGAUUUAUUAUGGUCAAUUGGCCCUGAGAUUGAGACUGUGGUGGGAACACUGAUGUUUUGGUUGCAUGAUAAGAAUUUUGUGGGAAGAAUAACAGAUGCAAGGAACUUUGUCAAGGAGAUAAAAUCAUAUAUCAAAGGUUUUUUAUUUGUUUCUACUCAUGUUUUAGGUUGUAAGUGAAUGUAGAAACAAAUUUUUAUUUUUGCCAACUCUUUUCAUGGAGAUAAACCAUAUAUUAAGGUUUUUAUAUUACUACUUUUUUUCCUGUAUGGUGUUGAACCAGUUGAAGUGCAGUUCUGGAUAUGGACGAAAGGCAUCUGAUCUUACCAUUAUGUAUGUGUCAUUUUGGCUUUUGGCCUUAUAUUGCUAUUUUAGUGUGUAUAAAUUUUAUUAUUGUAUUAAGUAGAUAUUAGAAGCCAAGAAAUUAAUCUAAGCUUCAUUUAUAAUAGGGUUAAAUAAGCUUUUGGUCCCUCUAAAAUUUUGAAAUUUUGCUUUUAGUCCCUGUACAAUAAAAUUAAAAUUACAGGGACCAAAUGUACAAACAGUGAUAUUUAGAAGGACUAUAAAGUGCAAUUUUAUUUUACAGGGACUAAAAACAAAAUUCUAAAAUUUUAGAGGGACUAAAAACAUACUUAACCCUUUAUAAUAUUACAUGUUUGAUUGGUCUUUUGUCACCACUAAGCAAAUUUUCCCCAUCCGAAACAAAUAUUUUUCUACAAAUUGUGGGAACAACUCUUAAUAUUUAUCUUUGUUACAUUCUAUAAUUCUACUGCUUUUCAGCUAGGUAUUUGGUGUAGAACCAACUGAAAGUGAAGUUCUGUAUAUUUGUUCUUUUGUCUACAGUCCUCUAUAUAGCUAAUUAAGUGUGUGUAAAUAUUAUGCUCUAUUGCUGUGUGGAUUUAAGAUUAGAAGUUAUGACAUCCAAAUACCCAUUUUUAAUAUUCAAUCAGUGUAUCAGAUUAUGUAGAUGUACCUUAUUACAUAUGAUAAACAAGAGAAUUGGGACGCAUCCAACUUGAAUAUGGGAAAAUGAAAACUUGGUGAAGGGACUUGUGCAGAGAUGUACUAAUUGGACAGAACCUGAAGACCGCAGCUACAAAGUCAAUAGUGCCUCAAUUUGAAUUUGAUUCAUUCCAAAUAUAUGAGAUGGAUUAUUGAAUGCCUCAAUGACACGAAAGGAAUCAAUGAAUAUUAUUUGUUAUAUAAAUUGUUGCUAUUAUUUGGAUGUCUUGUUGACCCUAAAGAAACAUUAUGAAAUCUUUACUCAAUAUUUGAAAGUUGCAUGAUGCCUUCAAUGCGAUGUUGAUGUGAAUUGAAUUUGACCCUUAGGGAUGGAUUAUUUAAUGCCACGAUGACCUGAAACGAAUCACAAAUAUUAUUUAUUCCAUAAAAUGUUGUUAGUAUUAAGGAUGAUAUCUAUUGUAUGCUUAUAAA
rnacentral:lncRNA from 1 species